rnacentral:rRNA from 1 species
GACGAACGCUGGCGGCGUGCUUAACACAUGCAAGUCGAACGGAAAGGCCCUUGCUUGCUGGGGUACUCGAGUGGCGAACGGGUGAGUAACACGUGGGUGAUCUGCCCUGCACUUCGGGAUAAGCCUGGGAAACUGGGGCUAAUACCGGAUAGGAGCUCCUUUUGGAUGGUGUGGUGGAGAGUUUUUCGGUGGGGGAUGAGCUCGCGGCCUAUCAGCUUGUUGGUGGGGUAAUGGCCUACCAAGGCGUCGACGGGUAGCCGGCCUGAGAGGGUGUACGGCCACAUUGGGACUGAGAUACGGCCCAGACUCCUACGGGAGGCAGCAGUGGGGAAUAUUGCACAAUGGGCGGAAGCCUGAUGCAGCGACGCCGCGUGGGGGAUGACGGCCUUCGGGUUGUAAACUCCUUUCGCUAGGGACGAAGCGCAAGUGACGGUACCUGGAGAAGAAGCACCGGCUAACUACGUG